UACAGAGGUCUCAAGCGUUGUUCGGAUUCAUUGGGCGUAAAGGGCGCGUAGGCGGCGGGGUAAGUCUGGUGUGAAAUCUCGGAGCUCAACUCCAAAAUUGCACUGGAUACUGCUCUGCUUGAGGGUUGGAGAGGAGAUCGGAAUUCACGGUGUAGCAGUGAAAUGCGUAGAUAUCGUGAGGAAGACCAGUGGCGAAGGCGGAUCUCUGGACAAAUCCUGACGCUGAGGCGCGAAGGCUAGGGGAGCAAACGGG
rnacentral:rRNA from 1 species